GAUGAAGAACGCAGCGAAAUGCGAUACGUAAUGUGAAUUGCAGAUUUCAGUGAAUCAUCGAAUCUUUGAACGCACAUUGCGCCCAUUAGUAUUCUAGUGGGCAUGCCUGUUCGAGCGUCAUUUCAACCCUUAAGCCUCUGUUGCUUAGCGUUGGGAGCCUACCUACCCGGUAGAUCCUCAAAGUUAGCUGGCAGGGUCGAGGUUCGCCCUAAGCGUAGUAGUUCUUUCUCGCUUCUGCGGCUGCCUAGGCCAUCGCCACAAGCCUUUUAAACUUCAAUGGUUGACCUCGGAUCAGGUAGGAAUACCCGCUGAACUUAAGCAUAUCAAUAAGCGGAGGA
rnacentral:misc_RNA from 1 species